rnacentral:rRNA from 1 species
GCACAAGCGGUGGAGUAUGUGGUUUAAUUCGAUGCAACGCGAAGAACCUUACCUGGUCUUGACAUCCCAGAAAUCCCUUGGAAACUUGGGAGUGCUUCCAUUAGGAAGAAUCUGGAGACAGGUGCUGCAUGGCUGUCGUCAGCUCGUGUCGUGAGAUGUUGGGUUAAGUCCCGCAACGAGCGCAACCCUUGCCUUUAGUUGCCAGCAGUUCGGCUGGGCACUCUAAAGGGACUGCCGGUGUUAAACCGGAGGAAGGUGGGGAUGACGUCAAGUCCUCAUGGCCUUUAUGACCAGGGCUACACACGUACUACAAUGGCCGAUACAAAGGGCAGCGACAUCGCGAGGUGAAGCCAAUCCCAUAAAAUCGGUCUCAGUCCGGAUUGGAGUCUGCAACUCGACUCCAUGAAGUUGGAAUCGCUAGUAAUCGUGGAUCAGCAUGCCACGGUGAAUACGUUCCCGGGCCUU